UCUUUAGGGGAUCGGCCUCCUUGGAACUCUAUAGGGGUUCCUCCCUCCAAGUUGCAGCUCAAAGGCUGCAGAAAAGAUUCAUCUAUUGCUUAUCAAAAGAGAAGGAAUACAUGCUAUUUAUAGGGCUUCUAAACCCUAACUCCUAAUAGGACUCCUACUUAAGACUCUUACUUCUAACCAACUCCUAGUAUGACUCAUAGUCAAGACUCCUAUUCCCUUACAACUCCUAAUUCUUCUCUAAGAAAACACCUCUUACAUGAAUGCCCCUCUCAAUUAGGACUCUCCUAGCUAGAGUCCUAACAGAAUG
rnacentral:lncRNA from 1 species